rnacentral:lncRNA from 1 species
AUAGUACUAUGAUGUUAGAUGGUCUAUCUAAUGAAACAUGCUUGGUAUAAUUGGUUUUUAUUGUGUAGUAAGAUAGUACUAUGAUGUUAGAUUGUUAAUCUUAUGAAACAUGCUUGGUAUAAUUGGUUUUAUUGUCUAGUAAGAUAGUAUUGUGCUGUUAGAUUGUCUAUCUAUUGAAACAUGCUUGGUAUAAUUGGUUUUUAUGGUGUAGUAAGAUAGUACUAUGAUGUUAGAUGGUCUAUCUAUUGAAACAUGCUUGGUAUAAUUGGUUUUUAUUGUGUAGUAAAAUAGUACUAU